GAUGAAGAACGUAGCGAAAUGCGAUAAGUAGUGUGAAUUGCAGAAUUCAGUGAAUCAUCGAAUCUUUGAACGCACAUUGCGCCCCCUGGUAUUCCGGGGGGCAUGCCUGUUCGAGCGUCAUUUCACCACUCAAGCCUCGCUUGGUAUUGGGCAUCGCGGUCCGCCGCGCGCCUCAAAUCGACCGGCUGGGUCUUCUGUCCCCUAAGCGUUGUGGAAACUAUUCGCUAAAGGGUGUUCGGGAGGCUACGCCGUAAAACAACCCCAUUUCUAAGGUUGACCUCGGAUCAGGUAGGGAUACCCGCUGAACUUAAGCAUAUCAAUAAGCGGAGGA
rnacentral:misc_RNA from 1 species